CUGCACCUGUCUGUGUGGAAGUGGAACUGAACCGUGCUGUUAGUGAGAGGCUGGUUUACUGAGUGUAAAGCUGUCAGCAGGGGGAAUAACACAGGGCUGUGAAUGAGUCCUGUCACUGUGAUCAGGCUCCUCCUUCUAAUCCACCAACUUAGUGUUGAUGAAGACUAAACAGAGAGAUCACAGCUUCUUUAUACUUGCUGUAGCUCACAGUUACUCUACACUGCAGAUAUGACGCCUCUGUUCAUCUCAGUGCUGCUGGCUGCUAUGUGCCUCGAAUGCAGAGCACAAAAAGACAACGUGCUGCAAGCAAAAGGAGAAGAGACUGCUGCUGCAGGAGGCUCAGUAACACUUCACUGUCAGUAUGAGAGCAGUGGAACAACUAAUUAUCUCUUCUGGUACAAACAGGAUGGAAACAACAGCCCCAAAUUCAUCCUGAGUCGUGUCAGCAGGGAUGAUGGAAAGACAGCAGAUGAGUUCAAGGAGAGAUUUUCAUCCACACUGGAUUCCAGCAUCAGAUCAGCUCCUCUGAAGAUCCAGAAGCUUCAGCUGUCUGACUCUGCUGUGUACUACUGUGCUCUGCAGCCCACAGUGACAGGAAACACCAAAAACAUUGUUGGAAUGAGAAGGACAGAUGUGGAGUCCGGCUCAAUGGACCAAGCUGUUGGAACAACUCUUCAACAAAUGGAGAAACACAAGAGAUGUGACUUUAAAGCUUUUAGUGACUUCAAGUGA